GGGUUGGUAACUCAGUGGUAGAGUGACUGUCUGAAGAACAGUAGGUCGUAAGUUCGAUUCUUACCCUUCCCA
rnacentral:tRNA from 1 species